CUGCGAAUGGCUCAUUAUAUAAGUUAUAGUUUAUUUGAUAGCACCUUACUACAUGGAUAACUGUGGUAAUUCUAGAGCUAAAACAUGCUAAAAAUCCCGACUUCGGAAGGGAUGUGUUUAUUAGAUUAAAAACCAAUGCCCUUCGGGGCUGCUUGGUGAUUCAUAAUAACCUCUCGAAUCGCACGGCCUUGCGCCGGCGAUGGUUCAUUCAAAUUUCUUCCCUAUCAACUUUCGAUGCGAAGGUAUUGUCUUCGCAUGGUUACAACGGGUAACGGAGGGUUAGGGCUCGACCCCGGAGAAGGAGCCUGAGAAACGGCUACUACAUCCAAGGAAGGCAGCAGGCGCGCAAAUUACCCAAUCCCGACACGGGGAGGUAGUGACAAUAAAUACUGAUACAGGGCUCUUUUGGGUCUUGUAAUUGGAAUGAGUACAAUUUAAAUCCCUUAACGAGGAACAAUUGGAGGGCAAGUCUGGUGCCAGCAGCCGCGGUAAUUCCAGCUCCAAUAGCGUAUAUUAAAGUUGUUGUGGUUAAAAAGCUCGUAGUUGAACCUUGGGCCUGGCUGGCCGGUCCCCCUCACCGGGUGCACUGGUCCGGCCGGGCCUUUCCCUCUGUGGAACCGCAUGCCCUUCACUGGGUGUGCCGGGGAAACAGGACUUUUACUUUGAAAAAAUUAGAGUGCUCCAGGCAGGCCUAUGCUCGAAUACAUUAGCAUGGAAUAAUAGAAUAGGACGUGUGGUUCUAUUUUGUUGGUUUCUAGGACCGCCGUAAUGAUUAAUAGGGACAGUCGGGGGCAUCAGUAUUCAAUUGUCAGAGGUGAAAUUCUUGGAUCUAUUGAAGACUAACUACUGCGAAAGCAUUUGCCAAGGAUGUUUUCAUUGAUAAGGAACGAAAGUUAGGGGAUCGAAGACGAUCAGAUACCGUCGUAGUCUUAACUAUAAACUAUGCCGACUAGGGAUCGGACGGUGUUUAUACUUGACCCGUUCGGCACCUUUCGAGAAAUCAAAGUGCUUGGGCUCCAGGGGGAGUAUGGUCGCAAGGCUGAAACUUAAAGAAAUUGACGGAAGGGCACCACCAGGGGUGGAGCCUGCGGCUUAAUUUGACUCAACACGGGGAAACUCACCAGGUCCAGACACAAUGAGGAUUGACAGAUUGAGAGCUCUUUCUUGAUUUUGUGGGUGGUGGUGCAUGGCCGUUCUUAGUUGGUGGAGUGAUUUGUCAGCUUAAUUGCGAUAACGAACGAGACCUUCUUCUGCUAAAUAGCCCGAACUGCUUUGGCAGUCCGCCGGCUUCUUAGAGAGACUAUCGGCUCAAGCCGAUGGAAGUUGGAGGCAAUAACAG
rnacentral:rRNA from 1 species